rnacentral:ncRNA from 1 species
UGGGCAGUAUCCAUUUGGAACUGCACCUGGUUUUAAAACGUGAAAACUAAAUGGUUUCUGCCUAGAUCCGUGUAACGGACCGGGACAGAGGG